UGAAAUCUGGCAUGAGUGAAUUUAAAAAAUAUAAUAAUCAGAAGACAAAAAUAAAUAAAAAAACAAAUAAAUAGGAGAAAAUCUUGUGGCCUGUAGAAGCACAUAGAGUUGAACACUGUUGGGCUGUUGUAUUUUUUCAGAGGGUACAUGUGCUCAGAAUAGGAUGCUUGCCAUCGAGCCAGAGAUCAAGCAGGAGGACACAGAGAGGAAAUAAGCCCCAUAGCUCUCCCCUUGCGUUCCCUCUCACCAGUCAGCCAGUGGGACUGCACCUCACCUGCUUUUUGGCAGCUACGGGAGAAUCGGCUGAGGCACCUCAGCCACAUGUCUCAGAUCUGGAUCCAAAAUAGCUCUCUCCCUGGGCACAAAGCCACCUAUCAUGUGUUCAGCUAUCCAAUAGCAAAUACAAAAUACAAAAACUGGCAAAAUGUGGCUUAAAUCUUCCCCCCCACCCCUCCCCUACUCACCCUCCCACCACUCAAAGCUAGUGGAAGAUAAUGUCCAUAUGCAAGAGCCCUCCUCCAUGAGAAAGCAUCCGUGCCCCCUUCCCAGGAGCAGUGAGCAUGCAUCUGCUCAGCUGCCUCUGAGCAGCCCCCAGUGGGUCCUACUCCCCCUCCUCUGAUGAUGCCGUGCUGAAAAGCAGCAUGAAGGACACUGUGCUGCAGAGGGAGACAGAGCAGGAGUGUGGCUGCAUUGCCUAGUGGUUGAAUCGCUCUGCUGGGAAUAGAAAACAUUACAAACUUGGUCGUGUUUUGAAGCAGCUCACACAAGCCUCGCCGAAUUUGCAGACCUCUCUUUUGCAUCAGCCACCCGCGGCUCGGUACUUAAUGAAGGAGUCCGGAGGUGGAGAUGAAUUAUCCAAGUUCCUAAGCGGCCGGCGGCUCCGACAAGGACCUCUCUCCCCGCGUUACUCCUCAUUCCCAUCCCGGCUUUGCGGCCCCGCCACUCUCCCCCCGCACCCCGGUUGGGGUUUACACGCGCUCGCGGGGCUCCGCGCUCUCUCCGAUGUCAACGAGGUGAACCCGGGAGCCCGCUAGGGCUGUACCCACACAAAUCACUGCGUGUAAGCGUCCCUCGGGGCUAUUUGCGGCUGGGACGAAAGACACUUAAAGAAAUGAGAGAUGUAGCAGGGGUCCCUCACUGGACCGAAGGGACUGCGUCGUUUAUCGGCCUCGGCAGAAGUAGUUAUAUGCCUAUAAAUCUGCGUUCGGCAACACCGAUCGCGGAAGCAGAUUUAUAAGACUUCAAAUUAACCGUUUCUAUCUUUAG
ensembl:lncRNA